CCUGCACGAAUGGCGUAAUGAUGGCCAGGCUGUCUCCACCCGAGACUCAGUGAAAUUGAACUCGCUGUGAAGAUGCAGUGUACCCGCGGCAAGACGGAAAGACCCCGUGAACCUUUACUAUAGCUUGACACUGAACAUUGAGCCUUGAUGUGUAGGAUAGGUGGGAGGCUUUGAAGUGUGGACGCCAGUCUGCAUGGAGCCGACCUUGAAAUACCACCCUUUAAUGUUUGAUGUUCUAACGUUGACCCGUAAUCCGGGUUGCGGACAGUGUCUGGUGGGUAGUUUGACUGGGGCGGUCUCCUCCUAAAGAGUAACGGAGGAGCACGAAGGUUGGCUAAUCCUGGUCGGACAUCAGGAGGUUAGUGCAAUGGCAUAAGCCAGCUUGACUGCGAGCGUGACGGCGCGAGCAGGUGCGAAAGCAGGUCAUAGUGAUCCGGUGGUUCUGAAUGGAAGGGCCAUCGCUCAACGGAUAAAAGGUACUCCGGGGAUAACAGGCUGAUACCGCCCAAGAGUUCAUAUCGACGGCGGUGUUUGGCACCUCGAUGUCGGCUCAUCACAUCCUGGGGCUGAAGUAGGUCCCAAGGGUAUGGCUGUUCGCCAUUUAAAGUGGUACGCGAGCUGGGUUUAGAACGUCGUGAGACAGUUCGGUCCCUAUCUGCCGUGGGCGCUGGAGAACUG
rnacentral:rRNA from 1 species